AGGGAACGUUUUAGCUUGUGGCAUAUUCAGCAUCAUAUCAGUGUCACUUCUCUGACUAAUUCCAUAUUUCAUAUACUAAUGAAAACUGAGGGAUUUAUCUGUUCCUUAGUAGCGUUUGUUUAAUUCAGAGAUUAAUAUAUCAUCUUCAACCCUGAAACAGAGGCCCUCUAAAAUAUCAGACCCAAAAAAUUGGACACGGCCUACUAGCCCAAAAAAGAACAUGUUGCCAAUUAUGUCCAUGUUUAUUUAAAUAUUUUGCUCUAAAGGAAGCAAUCAUUCCUUUAUACUUCUGUAAAUUUAGUAUUGACAUUUUUAUUUUGGGAAAGGAGGUCUUUUUUUUGACAUGGAUACAGGAAAAGAAAACUCUUCAAUAAAAAUAUUGUCUAAAAAGUUUGUUUUGUCUGCAUGAUUUACUAAAUAUGUACAAUUUCAAUUCACAGCGAAGGUAACAAAGAUUUAAACAGCCAACAUCACAAAUGUCUCAAGUUCUAAAAAAAAUUCACUGUGCACAGUUUAACAAUUUAAUUGAAUAAAAACCAAAGCUAAGCCUUCAGUCUGAAUCUUUUUUUUUAUGAUGGGCACAAGCCAUGUAUUUUCUUUAUCUUUGUUUCACAAUGCAUAUUUCAGUGACCAAAAGCCCCUUCCCAUUUUGCUAUAUUAGGCUGUCUCAGUACAUACUUAAAAGAGGCAUAUACAGCCUCUUGGUUCACCAAUACGAUUUGUGAUGUGUUCACAUAUAUGUUGUACUAUUUAUUAAUAUAUAAAAUGAUCAGAUGAGUCACCUGUAGUUUUAUAGUCUUCAAAAGUAGGAAUGUUUUGUGGCAUGUACAAAAUAUUUGAAAUUUACAGGUGUAUAUUUAAGCUAUAAUAAUUUGACCAGCAUCCCCUUGAGAUAAGGUAUCCGGAAAGAACUAUUUUGCUUUUGAAAUAUAGAUUUCACAUCCCUAUCCAAUAAAAGUUUGUAAAGUUUGGUAUUUUAUGAAUCUGAAUGUUGUGUUCAUUCUGAUACAAUGAUAAAGUGAAUGAAGUAAUUAAUAAUUAGAAAAAAAGUCAUUGAAUACAUAAUAGUUGAGUUACAGUUAAGAAGGAAGCCAUAACUUUAGCUACCCUAUAAAAUCUAUAAUAAUGCUGUUUUCACAUAUAUUUUUUUCCCACGUAAAUUCUUUGGUGUUUUUCCCCCUUAUUUUUUAGUGCAGUGAUUGAUGAACAUGCAAAUAACUGCAUCGAACAUGUUUAUUUGAAUAAUUGCCCCAUUGCACAAUCAAAUAAAUCUGCUGAGUGUGUUUGUUUGAAUGUUUUUACAUGUACAUGGGAGCACAUACUCAAAUGCAGCUGUGUUUAUUACAGUGUGAGGUGCUUCAGAUAUACACACUUAUUUUUGUGUACAUCCAGGGCCCACAGCCCUUGAAUAGCCUCACACAUCCUGGAGGGACAAGAGUGGUUAACAGUUUUUCAGUUCAAAUACACGUAAACAUAUUAUUGGGCAAUCUCCUCAAAUUUGUGGCUAAGUGUUAAUGUUAUUAAGGCUUACAUCUUCAGAAAUAUUUUUUCAAAUGACCUAUUUUUUAAGUUAUCUGAUUGUGAAAAGUAAUAAGUUUAUUCGCAUUUAUUCAAAGAUAGUCCCUUCUUUCUUCCUUAUUCCAAGUCCUUGCAUUCCACCCCCAGACCAAUUCACACGAAAGAAGAUGAAUGUUCUGUUAAGCUCUUGCUGAAAACUUCUGGUAUCUCUAGUCCCACUUAUUACAGGCCUCAGCCUAUGGUGUCAUGUAAAAAAAAAGUUUGCACAGAUGUGCUAGGAUACAAAAGGCUCUUGAGGAAACGGGCAGGGAUGUUCAGCUGUCCUAAUGUUUCAUUGCCUUCUCUACCCCCUAUUCUAGGGGGAAAAGGGUGAGCCUUAGUACUAAGAGGGUGGGAAGAGUAACUAUUCUGUAAGAGAGACGAGAAUAUAUCUGAUGUUACCGAAAUGCAUGUUUCUUGCUUCUGCAAGGGGAUUUCUUGUUUGUGAUCUCAGAAAGGAAUCUUAGGAUAAAUCAAAGUUUUUAUUCUUCUCUGGAGUUGGAAGAUUAAGGAGCUCUAAUGUGUGAUAGUGUUUGUUAGUGAAUAAAGAGCAUUUUCUAAAAACUCAGAUAUGGGAUAUUGUAGUGAUUGUCACAAAUUUACAAGUGUUAUCUUGCCAUUUUCAGACUGUCGUGAGCCUGCCUGUGAAAUGAAAUCAGCAAAAAAAGGACAGAAAAGGGGGUCACAGGAGGGCAAAGGCAGGAUCUGCCCGCCCUGUCCCCUUUGUGUGCGCUUUCUUCUUCCCAAGGAGGAGGAGUAGGUUGCACAUUCUUGGUCUGUUGGUCCUAUCUCUUGUGGAUUGAGACACAGAUAUGCCCCAUGGGCAGCAGAGACCUACAUUGCUUUAAAGGAGGCCACAGGGAUUGAUUCUACCCAGACAAAAUUUAAUGGCUUGAUAUUUUCAGGUUGAAGUAAUAAAGUUAUCGCCUAGAGCCUUUAAAGCCAGAAAAAUCUAUGUAGUGUAUUUAUUUGUGCCGUUCAAAGAAGGAGAUAUGGGAAUAGAAUUUUCUAAAUUUUCAAAUAUGAAAAUGACAGGCUGUGGAAAACAGUAGCCGUAGCAUUUUGAUGCCACUUUUCCCUGCUCUCUCUCACCUCAGAAAGUUUGAAGGCAGAACUGAGAACAUAUUUUCUAGAAGGAUCUGCUCAUCUACCACUGUAUCUUCAUUAUAUCUUUUCUCUAUGUGUGUGUAUGGGUAUAUAUACAUAUAUAUUUUAAUUGAAGUUGCGAAGAAUGACAUUUGUGAAAUUUAGGAAAAUGUUAUUAUGGCUAAAGAUUAAAUAUAAAUACAUAUUUCUUGCCAACUCGAAAUAUCAUACUUAAAAUUUUAGCAAAUUCAAUAGCAAAAUGAUGCUUUUUCUAAAAUUCUAAAGUAGAAAAAAUAUGUGGACAGCUACUCUUAUAGUUCUGUAUAUUCAAGAGCUGUAAAUUUCAUAAGGUAAUCUUUUUCUCUUAUUUUCACUUGGCAAUUAGAUUUAGGAAGUAGGAUCUGGUUUCUUGAUAAAAGCCAUUAUGUAAAACCUACAAAUACAUUCAUAUUUUGAAUAUUUGGGGUCAUCUUGUAAAGUCUGAAAAAUUAUCUUGGAAAAUCAUGGUUAUUGUUGUUAGUAUUUGCCUUCAGCUUUUCCUCCCUCCCCUACCUUGUAGUCUCAGAUAAAUGGUAAACUACAGUCUGCAUUUCAAAAAAGUGAGAUAAGCUAUCCCAAUUCUUUAAAAAACGUUACAUAUUAUAAAUAACAUUGAAUAAUAUCUGUCUUUUUGAAAUUAGACUUUUUGAAUAAAUCACAAAGACUCCUUGGACAGAGAAGUGAGUUUGUAACACAUAAUCUCUAAAUACUUGUAAUGC
rnacentral:lncRNA from 1 species